rnacentral:lncRNA from 10 species
GCAGUUCUGUUGGACAGAGUGUGGGCUGCCAGAGAAAACAAAUUCCUCCAGCAGGUUUAUCUCCUUGUGGAGGAGGCCUAAUCAGCAGCACGAAGUGGCAAAGGAGGGAGGCCAUAUGCUCCUGACCUGGCUGAGCUGCCCAUGCCCGGAUUAGCUGGGUCAGCCAGGCCGAGCGCCUGGUUCCAGGAUGGAGGCUCGCUUCUGGUGGGUCCUGGGUAGGGCAGAGGCCCCCGUACCAAGCCAGCCAGAUCCAUCCCAUCCUAAACCCUCCAGGGGGAUGGAGCUCCAACAGAAAUGAGGAGGGGCAGAAAGGAGACAAAUGAAAGCAAAUGUGGGUGCAGAAUUUCUGAGGUGCCACAGGAAACUUUCCACAGCCACAUGCUGUGCUUUCAGUGGGAAAUGUGUUAGGCUUGGCAAUGCCAGGGAGGGCCACAGUGCAGGGGAGGUGAAUGGUGGCUUCCGGAUUUGUGCAGCGCACACUCUGCCCUGCCAUCCCCGGGGCCCUGGAUGGAAGGUCACAAUUCUUUAUCUAUAUGGCUUCAGUGAUGUUAGGAGAGGCACAUUCCCAUCCUCAGCAGGUGCAUUUGGAGAAUCCAUAGCACCUAAGAAAACAGGACAGGUGGGCCCUGCUCAGUGGAGCAAGUCACCUGCCCCUUAACAAGGACCACAUGUAACCACCCUCAGUUCUUCCUCCACUCCUGCUUCCUUCUCCAGGGGUUCUCAGAGUGUGGCUCCCAGUCCGGCAGCACCAGCACCACCUGGGAACUUGAUAGAAGUGCAAAUUCUUGGGCCCUCCCAAGACCUGCUGGAUGGGAAACUCUGGGGUGGGGCCUAGUUGUGUGUUUAAUAGCCUCACCCCACCACCUUCCCCCAGGAAGAAGCAUCUUUCUCCCCUACGCAGCCUGGGGACAGGCAGCUCUGGCCUUGGAAUCACUAGGGGAACUUUUAAAAGUGCCCGUGCCUGGGUCUCACCCCUACAGAUUCAGAUUUCUCUGGUCUAGGUUUUAGCCUGGGCAUCAGGAUUUUUGGCUGUUUUGCAGGCUGAAAGUGCUUCUGUGUUCUGGGGUGCUGGGCUCAGGGUCAUCACCUGGAACCACGAACCAUGAGAUGGAGGCUUGC